AAAAGACGCUGUCACUUUAAAUUGACAGAGCGGCUGGAAGCUCGUUUCUGGGUCAGCUGAACAACAAACUGGAUAAGACAUCCCCGUCGUCACAGGAUUUACAUUUGGAUGCUUGACAGCUGGUUCUUAUUUAUGACGGUUGCAGUGUCCCCAGGGCAAGCAUGCUAGGCUAUUACUGCAUAGCAACGUCUCUUUCUCAAGCACUUGAAAUUCAGAAUAACAGAGCUGGAAGGUGACUUUGGAGGUCUUCUAGUCCAACCCUCUGCUCAAGCAAGUAACCCUGUACCAUUUCAGAUAAAUGGUUUUACAAUCUCUUCUUAAAAACCUCCAGUGUUGGAGCAUCCACAACUU